UGUUACUAAAAAAUACACACAAUGGAUCAUAUGGAAGAGAGUGAGAGUCCAACAAAUGGAAGAGAGCUUGAAGAUGAUUAUAUGCACAAGUUUCUCUUUGCAGCUGGAGCAACUCUAGCAAUGGCAUGCUUAAAAAUCAUUUUGGUGAUGCUUUUCGUCAAGCAAUGGCGCACCAGGGUCUUUUUAAUCCUCAAUAUUAUUGUCUUAGCCAUUUUCUUCACUUCCAUUCAUUCAAGUUCAAGUGAAAAUCAACAAACUAUAGGUAAUGCAGAGAUGAAUAUUCAAGGAAAGAAGCGAAGAAAACAAUGUAGCUGGUCUGCCAAAGCUACUAAAGCGCACAAAGAAUGUCAGGAGAUGAGUAACAGGAAAAGGGAUGCAGAUGAAGUUAAGCAUGCAAUUAUAAUUGAUAGUGAACCUCAGAAAUUGUCCAAGGAGGAGUUAAAUGAGAGAGUUGAAGCUUUCAUUGCAAUGUUUAGGCAGCAUUUGGUUUCUGAUGCAAGAAAAGGUAGAAACUAAUUCCUCUCAAGGCCUAAACAAAGCUGACCCUUUCACCUUUUCAAGGGAAGGGAAAGAGUAAAGGCAAGUCUGAGCUUACAGUGCUACAUUCAGUAGAAUUCUGGGGAUGAAAAUGUAAUUUUUUUUUAAUUUUCAGGGUUAAUUUGCAAUUCUUUUGCACCUUCUAUAAAAUUAUCAAAAAGACCCUUUUACUUUUGAGGUUUAAAGGUUAAGUUUAGGGUUUGAAUUGGCCAUUUUCAGAUCAAUAGAGAGAGCAAUUAGGAGACAAUUGUCUCUUGGUCCCAUCCUAUGGAGUAAGAGUUAUCAAAGCUCACUUCAAAUUUAAUUGACAAAUACUGAUGGCUACUAUACAGGGACCUCUCUAAAAUUUUUAGGUUAACAUUUCAAUUUUUGUUGCUUUUCUGCUAUUAUUCCCCUACUAGUAGGCUGGUCACUGCCCUCUACCUUGUCUUCUUCUAAUCCAAUUCACACUCUCUUGAGAGGAUGAGCAGGCUUGAAUUGGCAAUAAAAUGAGAGCUUUUAUUUUGUAGAAAAAGAGCUACCUUUAAUUACGUAAUAAAUACUGAAAUAUUGUAUUUCAAUUAAUUAAGUUGGCUUGUAAUUCUCAUGUACUUGAUUUUCGCAUCUCUAAAUUUGGCCAAACCGUCAGGGAAGAAUUUUUUGCUAAAAAGGGAGAUGAUGAGAGAUGAGAUGAUGAUGA
rnacentral:misc_RNA from 1 species